UACGAAGGGGGCUAGCGUUGCUCGGAAUCACUGGGCGUAAAGGGUGCGUAGGCGGGUCUUUUAAGUCAGGGGUGAAAUCCUGGAGCUCAACUCCAGAACUGCCUUUGAUACUGAGGAUCUUGAGUUCGGGAGAGGUGAGUGGAACUGCGAGUGUAGAGGUGAAAUUCGUAGAUAUUCGCAAGAACACCAGUGGCGAAGGCGGCUCACUGGCCCGGUACUGACGCUGAGGUGCGAAAGCGUGGGGAGCAAACAGGG
rnacentral:rRNA from 1 species